rnacentral:rRNA from 1 species
UACGAAGGGGGCUAGCGUUGCUCGGAAUCACUGGGCGUAAAGGGUGCGUAGGCGGGUCUUUAAGUCAGGGGUGAAAUCCUGGAGCUCAACUCCAGAACUGCCUUUGAUACUGAAGAUCUUGAGUUCGGGAGAGGUGAGUGGAACUGCGAGUGUAGAGGUGAAAUUCGUAGAUAUUCGCAAGAACACCAGUGGCGAAGGCGGCUCACUGGCCCGAUACUGACGCUGAGGCACGAAAGCUAGGGUAGCGAACGGG